GAUGAACGCUCGCUACAGGCUUAACACAUGCAAGUCGAGGGGCAGCAUGAUUGAAGCUUGCUUCAAUCGAUGGCGACCGGCGCACGGGUGAGUAACACGUAUCCAACCUGCCGAUAACUCGGGGAUAGCCUUUCGAAAGAAAGAUUAAUACCCGAUAGUAUAGUAUUUCCGCAUGGUUUCACUAUUAAAGAACUUCGGUUAUCGAUGGGGAUGCGUUCCAUUAGAUAGUUGGCGGGGUAACGGCCCACCAAGUCAACGAUGGAUAGGGGUUCUGAGAGGAAGGUCCCCCACAUUGGAACUGAGACACGGUCCAAACUCCUACGGGAGGCAGCAGUGAGGAAUAUUGGUCAAUGGACGAGAGUCUGAACCAGCCAAGUAGCGUGAAGGAUGACUGCCCUAUGGGUUGUAAACUUCUUUUAUACGGGAAUAAAGUGGAGUAUGCAUACUCCUUUGUAUGUACCGUAUGAAUAAGGAUCGGCUAACUCCGUG
rnacentral:rRNA from 1 species